GGGCCGGAAGUACGUGGCCUGGGCCCUGCCAAGGAUCCCCCGGGCGCAUCCGGUCAGCUCGGAUCGGUGCGCCGGGGUGGGAACAGAAAGCAGAGCAGCAGGGGGGACGGGGAACGAGGUGGAAAUGGAAAGAAAAUAUCGUCGCGCGGGGCAGGAUGCGGCACAAGAGAUCGUGGCGGCCUUCGGGGAGCACAGACUGCAGUGCUCCGGGAGGGAGGAGGGAAUGCCCGUGUGCGGGUACAGGAGACCUGUGAUUGCCCGGAGCGCCCCAUGCUGCUCUGCCCAGGAGCAGGCGGAGUGAUAGCCGAUCGCCCUGUCAACGGCCGCGGUCGCAUCCUUGCUUUGCCCGCUGAAGGGCAAAGCUGAUGCACCGGCUCUUCCUAAGUGUGCAUGCGUGUUCAUGGCCGUUCAUAGCUGUUUUCAUGGCUCAAGUGGGAGCCUGCACUGGAUGGCGCACGCACCCUGGGUCUCUAUCAAUCAUGCUUUUACGCUGCGACCGCUCUCGCACAGCAGCGCUGAGCCGUGAGUUGCUGUGCGUGGCCGCUGGGAGAGAGCGGCGGAGCGUCGAUCCUUGCUCCUUCCCUGAGUGUUGGCCGCACAGUGGCCUGUAGUGCUUAUUCCAAAUGCACAUACGUACUUUCGGCAUUCCUCGAGUCGUCAGUCGCCGUAACCAUCCUCUCAUCGAUGAUCGGCGCUGUGCCAACGUCCACUGAUUCGCCGGACGCGUGCGCAAAUCGAUUAUAUCGAUGUUCGAAAGGUUGUGACUGCAGCGCAUGCGCACUGAGGGACAUCGAUUGACUCGGUGAACAGCUGAUCAGGCUCUGAGCGGUAGACGCAUGCGUACAUCCGUUGCCCCUUGAUGGGCAAACCCUAUGCGACACCUCUCCCGAAGUGCGAAUGCGGCUUUGUUGUCUCUUUCCAUGUUUUGUCUCGUGACUGCGAUCAACAGCUCACGGUCCUACGCAUGUGUACUUGCGGACUUGGGAAACGAUGUGUCGCCUGUUCCCAAAUACGCAAGUGUGGUCAAGACCUUUCAUUGAUGUGUUCGUCACGCGACUGGGAGCCUGCCCUGUAUAGCACACGCGUACUGGUCCUCCCCAGUGUCAAUACGUAUGCUUCAUUCUCAGUGCACAUACGUAUGGACACUUGCGCCCUGAUAGUUUCGGCAGUUGACUUGUCGUCACUUCCUCUGUAACCGUGGAAACUGAUCCAUGACUCUGGCAGUGUCUGGUCCGCUAAUUCUGAGGACGCAUGCGCCAAUCCUGAAUAUCGGUGAUCGAUAUUUGUCGACUGCACCAUAUGCGCACGCGCAAGUUCCAUUUAUAUCAAUGAGUUUGGUGGUCAGGUGAGCAGCUAAUUUACCGGCGCAUGCGUAUUUGCUUUGCCCAUUGAAGGGAAACGCGUUGGCCCGCUUGUUCCGAAGUGCGCAUGAAUAUGCAUGGCAGCUCAUCGAUAUUUUCAUCGCGCAACUGAGAGCCUUAGCUCUACAGCGCAUGUUCACUGGGUCUUUGCCCGUGAUUGCUUAACGUGGCGGCUGCUGUCGUGCACAGGGGUACCGCGUCCACGGUGGCUGCGGCUUCGGGCCCGGGAUGAGAGGGGAGGAGGCGUCCAUGCCCUUCCCCCGAGUAUUGACUUGGCGUGUGGAGGACGCGACUGUAAUGCUUAUUGCGGUGCACACUGAGAACCGCGCCUCGAUUUGCGUCGCUGCUCGUCCUGUCCUCAGUGCCUUUGUAACCCGGGAAACCAUCAGUGAUUUCGACAGGAGGAAACAGUCCCUUCCUAGGACACGUGCGCAUCCGGCUUCAAGAGUCCUCCGGCCGCAUGCGUACUUGCCUCGUCCGUUGACCAAACGUUAUGCGUCGUUUUGGUCACCCUGUAGUGCGCAUGCGCACUGAGUCAUCACUAGGCCCCGGGGUGGCUUCGGCCGCGCCCCGCCAGUGACGAUAGAGGGGACAUCCCUGCCUCUCCCCCUAGUAUUGUCCCCACGUGGGGGGGGGCUUGUAGCCCUUAUUUCCGACACGCAUGCGCACUACGUGCCAAACUCGUCGAUGCUGUUCCGCGCAUGCGUGCAUCGAUCCUUUUGGCUUCCUUGCCAGCUCCACCGCCAGUGGUGGGUUUAGGAAUUCAUUUAGACAUGGGGGCACAGACGGUGAGGUGCAGCAUCUCAUUGAAAACAACCCGCAUUUUUCUCCAGGAAAAAUACACUGGAAGCUUUAUUAACAUGUGGGGGGGAGGGCUCGGGCUGUAUCAUUUAGGAUAAGCUUGAAGCAACAACUAAGACAGUGUCAGUGGAAGGAGUUGAAAGCCACUCGCAGGUUGUGAAGCAGGAUCUCCAGGCCCAGGCACAGCACAGGCCGCAGACCCGCGCACACAGGCCAGCUCCAGAGCACCAAGACCGUGAGAAGAAGAGCGGGCCCCUUGCAGCGGCAGCAGGACCAGUCGGGUCCGGGCGAGGGGCUGAACCACGACACCCGGGGCUGCAGCAUUGCCCCAGCAGAAAUGCAGCUACCCCAGCCGGGCAGGUGGUUUGACACAGUGCAACACGACUAGCAGCGGGGGCCGAGGUGCCUUCUCGUGCCCCCGUCCUUGGAGCCCGCGUGUCAGCGAGGAGCCGCAGCGUGACAGAUGCGGCGCUUGGGGCAGAAGGGCCCUGUUGUAUCUGCAAGGGUCACUCCGGGCACUCAGACAGGUGUGCGGGGCCUGCACUGGUCCCUUGGAAACAGCCGAGGCCCCACGGGUGACAGGUGAGUACGUGUUUAUGCCUUUGACAGUCUCAGCGGACAGAACACACCAGCAGUUACCUAGGCUUCUACCUGGAGGCUCGUCAUUCCCGUGUCCUGCUCCAACAGUAACGCCUCCAGCGCCUGCAGCUCUUGCCUCUAACUGCUGGUAGCAGGGGUGACUGGUGCCUCCUGAGUUUGGGACGGGCACAAUUUGUUGGCAGGCCAUGGGGUAUGCCAAAAGUUUCAUAUCUACUAUACUUGUGUGUUGUGGCUUAGUGCCCGCCCGCCCCCCGCCACCCACCCAUAUCACGCUGCCGGCAUACACAGCGAGAAAACUGCCUCAUCCUGAGCAGUGCUGAGUUGGGGCCCAAUCCCAGGCGGGGAACAGGCCACUCUCUGCCCCGCCUACUAGUCGCCUGUGGCUGGUAGCACCCUCCAAAAGCGAUCAUCUGCCUGUUGGCUCACAGAAUAAUGAGGCCCAGACGCCCCAGGCUUUGUAUUCUCCCUCCCUGUGCCCCGAUCAGGUUUUGAGCACUUUGCUCUCUGCAAAUUUAGGCCCUUGUUUGCCACUCAUCCUUAUUGCCCAACACCCAGGGAUAGGCUUGGGGUUUGGGUUAGGGUUAGCGGUCACAGAAUAUGACUUUGCAUUUUGGGUUGUUGUUUGACUCCUAAGUAUAAUCAUUAAGGAGACAAUUUCCCAGAUAUUGCUUUCGAGAGUAUAAAUGGGGGAGGAAUAUGUCCAUUUUUAAAAAUCUUUUAGCUACUAGCAGUAAGUUUAAGCCAAGAUUUCCUUGUCCAGUGCUGCAUUUCUGGCCCUUGCUGCUUGGCACUGGAAUCGCUUGCAGUUUAGAAUCUGACCGUCCUUUACACAGUUUGAGCUGUACGCGAUGGAAACCUUCACAUAGAGGGGUUUUUACUAAGUGAUACACAUUAUCAAGAACCAGGUACUGUUGAGUCUUUUGAGAGACAAGACUACAGCCCUUUUUUGUGGUUGGGAGUUUUUUUACAAGGUUAGAGACAGAAUUUUGGGGAAGUUGGAAUUCCUUUACUGAUUACGAGGGAUCCUGGUUUUCUCAGAUAACAAAAAUAAAACGCAGAAUCUCUGAUGAAAAACCCCAGCAUCCAUGUUUUUUCUGUGAUUUAAAAUGAAGUGCCAGUAUGUAUGUAGGUAUGAGUUGAACACUAUGUUUUAUUGAUGUCUUUACAAUUUUAAAGUGUUUUGAAUCCUACUAGUGCCUCAAUCUGUAGAAUAAAAAAAAUGUGAAUACCUAUA